UACGUAGGGUGCAAGCGUUGUCCGGAAUUAUUGGGCGUAAAGAGCUCGUAGGCGGUUUGUCACGUCGGUUGUGAAAAUCCGAGGCUCAACCUCGGACCUGCAAUCGAUACGGGCAGGCUAGAGUUCGGUAGGGGAGACUGGAAUUCCUGGUGUAGCGGUGAAAUGCGCAGAUAUCAGGAGGAACACCGGUGGCGAAGGCGGGUCUCUGGGACGGUACUGACGCUGAGACGCGAAAGCGUGGGGAGCAAACAGG
rnacentral:rRNA from 1 species